AUUGAACGCUGGCGGCAGGCCUAACACAUGCAAGUCGAGCGGAGCGGCGGACGGGUGAGUAAUGCCUAGGAAUCUGCCUGGUAGUGGGGGAUAACGUCCGGAAACGGGCGCUAAUACCGCAUACUAUCAGAUGAGCCUAGGUCGGAUUAGCUAGUUGGUGGGGUAAAGGCCUACCAAGGCGACGAUCCGUAACUGGUCUGAGAGGAUGAUCAGUCACACGGGAAGUGGACCACGGUCCGAACUCCUACGGGAGUAAGCGUUGGGGAAUAUUGGAAAGUGGGGGAAAGCUUGAUCCAGCCAGGCCGCGGGUGUAAAGAAGGUUUUCGGGUUGUAAACCAUGUUAAGUUGGGAGGCGUUUCCAACAGAAAAAGCACCGCCUAACUUGUUGCCAGCGCCGCGGUAAUAC
rnacentral:rRNA from 1 species